GGGUUGUGAGGUUAAGCGACUAAGCGUACACGGUGGAUGCCCGGCAGUCAGAGGCGAUGAAGGACGUGCUAAUCUGCGAAAAGCGUCGGUAAGGUGAUAUGAACCGUUAUAACCGGCGAUGUCCGAAUGGGGAAACCCAGUGCAAUUCGUUGCACUAUCGUUAACUGAAUACAUAGGUUAACGAGGCGAACCGGGGGAACUGAAACAUCUAAGUACCCCGAGGAAAAGAAAUCAACCGAGAUUCCCCCAGUAGCGGCGAGCGAACGGGGAGCAGCCCAGAGUCUGAAUCAGCUUGUGUGUUAGUGGAACGGUCUGGAAAGUCCGACGGUACAGGGUGAUAGUCCCGUACACCAAAAUGCACAGGCUGUGAACUCGAAGAGUAGGGCGGGACACGUGGUAUCCUGUCUGAAUAUGGGGGGACCAUCCUCCAAGGCUAAAUACUCCUGACUGACCGAUAGUGAACCAGUACCGUGAGGGAAAGGCGAAAAGAACCCCGGCGAGGGGAGUGAAAAGAACCUGAAACCGUGUACGUACAAGCAGUGGGAGCACCUUCGGGUGUGACUGCGUACCUUUGUAUAAUGGGUCAGCGACUUAUAUUCUGUAGCAAGGUUAACCGUAUAGGGGAGCCGCAGGGAAACCGAGUCUUAACUGGGCGUUAAGUUGCAGGGUAUAGACCCGAAACCCGGUGAUCUAGCCAUGGGCAGGUUGAAGGUUGGGUAACACUAACUGGAGGACCGAACCGACUAAUGUUGAAAAAUUAGCGGAUGACUUGUGGCUGGGGGUGAAAGGCCAAUCAAACCGGGAGAUAGCUGGUUCUCCCCGAAAGCUAUUUAGGUAGCGCCUCGUGAAUUCAUCUUCGGGGGUAGAGCACUGUUUCGGCUAGGGGGUCAUCCCGACUUACCAACCCGAUGCAAACUACGAAUACCGAAGAAUGUUAUCACGGGAGACACACGGCGGGUGCUAACGUCCGUCGUGAAGAGGGAAACAACCCAGACCGCCAGCUAAGGUCCCAAAGUCAUGGUUAAGUGGGAAACGAUGUGGGAAGGCACAGACAGCCAGGAUGUUGGCUUAGAAGCAGCCAUCAUUUAAAGAAAGCGUAAUAGCUCACUGGUCGAGUCGGCCUGCGCGGAAGAUGUAACGGGGCUAAACCAUGCACCGAAGCUGCGGCAGCGACACUAUGUGUUGUUGGGUAGGGGAGCGUUCUGUAAGCCUGCGAAGGUGUGCUGUGAGGCAUGCUGGAGGUAUCAGAAGUGCGAAUGCUGACAUAAGUAACGAUAAAGCGGGUGAAAAGCCCGCUCGCCGGAAGACCAAGGGUUCCUGUCCAACGUUAAUCGGGGCAGGGUGAGUCGACCCCUAAGGCGAGGCCGAAAGGCGUAGUCGAUGGGAAACAGGUUAAUAUUCCUGUACUUGGUGUUACUGCGAAGGGGGGACGGAGAAGGCUAUGUUAGCCGGGCGACGGUUGUCCCGGUUUAAGCAUGUAGGCUGAUUGUCCAGGCAAAUCCGGAUAAUCAAGGCUGAGGUGUGAUGACGAGGCACUACGGUGCUGAAGUAACAAAUGCCCUGCUUCCAGGAAAAGCCUCUAAGCAUCAGGUAACAUCAAAUCGUACCCCAAACCGACACAGGUGGUCAGGUAGAGAAUACCAAGGCGCUUGAGAGAACUCGGGUGAAGGAACUAGGCAAAAUGGUGCCGUAACUUCGGGAGAAGGCACGCUGGUGUGUAGGUGAAGUCCCUGCGGAUGGAGCUGAGACCAGUCGAAGAUACCAGCUGGCUGCAACUGUUUAUUAAAAACACAGCACUGUGCAAACACGAAAGUGGACGUAUACGGUGUGACGCCUGCCCGGUGCCGGAAGGUUAAUUGAUGGGGUUAUCCGUAAGGAGAAGCUCUUGAUCGAAGCCCCGGUAAACGGCGGCCGUAACUAUAACGGUCCUAAGGUAGCGAAAUUCCUUGUCGGGUAAGUUCCGACCUGCACGAAUGGCGUAAUGAUGGCCAGGCUGUCUCCACCCGAGACUCAGUGAAAUUGAACUCGCUGUGAAGAUGCAGUGUACCCGCGGCAAGACGGAAAGACCCCGUGAACCUUUACUAUAGCUUGACACUGAACAUUGAGCCUUGAUGUGUAGGAUAGGUGGGAGGCUUUGAAGCGUGGACGCCAGUCUGCGUGGAGCCAACCUUGAAAUACCACCCUUUAAUGUUUGAUGUUCUAACGUUGGCCCCUUACCGGGGUUGCGGACAGUGUCUGGUGGGUAGUUUGACUGGGGCGGUCUCCUCCCAAAGCGUAACGGAGGAGCACGAAGGUUAGCUAAUCCUGGUCGGACAUCAGGAGGUUAGUGCAAUGGCAUAAGCUAGCUUGACUGCGAGCGUGACGGCGCGAGCAGGUGCGAAAGCAGGUCAUAGUGAUCCGGUGGUUCUGAAUGGAAGGGCCAUCGCUCAACGGAUAAAAGGUACUCCGGGGAUAACAGGCUGAUACCGCCCAAGAGUUCAUAUCGACGGCGGUGUUUGGCACCUCGAUGUCGGCUCAUCACAUCCUGGGGCUGAAGUAGGUCCCAAGGGUAUGGCUGUUCGCCAUUUAAAGUGGUACGCGAGCUGGGUUUAGAACGUCGUGAGACAGUUCGGUCCCUAUCUGCCGUGGGCGCUGGAGAAUUGAGGGGGGCUGCUCCUAGUACGAGAGGACCGGAGUGGACGCAUCACUGGUGUUCGGGUUGUCAUGCCAAUGGCACUGCCCGGUAGCUAAAUGCGGAAGAGAUAAGUGCUGAAAGCAUCUAAGCACGAAACUUGCCCCGAGAUGAGUUCUCCCUGAGACUUUAAGUCUCCUGAAGGAACGUUAAAGACGAUGACGUUGAUAGGCCGGGUGUGUAAGCGCAGCGAUGCGUUGAGCUAACCGGUACUAAUGAACCGUGAGGCUUAACCUUACAACGCCGAAG
rnacentral:rRNA from 1 species